rnacentral:rRNA from 1 species
CACGCAGGCGGUUUAUUAAGUUGGAUGUGAAAGUUUACGGCUUAACUGUAAAAGUGCAUCCAAUACUGGUAGACUUGAGUCUCGGAGAGGUAAGCGGAAUUCCUAGUGUAGCGGUGAAAUGCGUAGAGAUUAGGAAGAACACCGGUGGCGAAGGCGGCUUACUGGACGAGUACUGACGCUCAGGUGCGAAAGCGUGGGGAGCGAACA